rnacentral:rRNA from 1 species
GCCCCCCGAAUUGUGGUCUAGAAAGGCGCCAUCGGCCGCGCCCGCCGCUCAAAUCCCUUGGAACAGGGUAUCGGAGAAGGUGAGAAUCCUGUGCCGUGGCGGGCCGCGGCCGCACGAUGCGUCCUUGUCGAGUCGGGUUGCUUGGGAUUGCAGCUUGAAGUGGGUGGUAAAUUCCAUCUAAAGCUAAAUAUGGGCGAGAGACCGAUAGCGAACAAGUACCGUGAGGGAAAGAUGCAAAGAACUUUGAAAAGAGAGUCAAAGAGUGCUUGAAAUUGGCAGGAGGAAACCCGGUUGCGCCCCGCGUCGCCGCGCCGACUCAGCCGCCCGCUUUGUUGCCAUUGGUCGACCGCAAGGCGUCCUGGUGUGGAGUGGGCGGUGCACUUUGGCGUGGCGGGUCAGCCGCCGCUGUUGGGGCGUCAGAUGCCUCGCGCCGAGACUCUGGUGACUCGCGAGGAGCGUCGCCCCGCUGGCGCCGGCUGACGGAAGGGGCGCCACCGACCCGUCUAGAAACACGGACCAAGGAGUCUGACACGUGUGCGAGUACCCGGGUGGCAAGCCCGCGUGCGCAAUGAAAGUGAAGGGCAUGCCCUGCCAACCGACCUUGAUCUUCUGUGAAGGGUUUGAGUGGAGCACCUGUGUCGGGACCCGAAAGAUGGUGAACUAUGCCUGAGGAGGGUGAAGCCAGAGGAAACUCUGGUGGAGGCUCGUAGCGAUACUGACGUGCAAAUCGUUCGUCGAACUUGGGUAUAGGGGCGAAAGACUAAUCGAACCAUCUAGUAGCUGGUUCCCUCCGAAGUUUCCCUCAGGAUAGCUUGAGCGCCUUGUCGGUUUUG